rnacentral:rRNA from 1 species
UACGAAGGGGGCUAGCGUUGCUCGGAAUGACUGGGCGUAAAGGGCGCGUAGGCGGUGACCACAGUCAGGCGUGAAAUUCCUGGGCUUAACCUGGGGGCUGCGUUUGAUACGUGGUUGCUAGAGUGGGGAAGAGGGUCGUGGAAUUCCCAGUGUAGAGGUGAAAUUCGUAGAUAUUGGGAAGAACACCGGUGGCGAAGGCGGCGACCUGGUCCUUGACUGACGCUGAGGCGCGAAAGCGUGGGGAGCAAACAGG